CUGAUGACUCUGCAUCAGCUGACUCUAGGCCAAUUUUGGCCAACAGGCUGGAAAAAAAACGCGCCGAACUCAAUGUCUCAGGCAGCGCAGAACCCUCCCCCAAGUGGCCUCGGGCGAACAGCCAAGCUCACACCUUCCCCAGCUCGCUCCAGCACUCAAGCAGAGCGCGGGACGCCCGAGACGCGCAGGCGCAGCCUCGCCUCGGUCUCACCCUUACCCGCCGGCCGGAGGCUGGAGCUACGGGGGCUCGGCUCGAGCCGCGCUCCCAUUGGCUAAGACGGCACCGCCCAGACAAAGCCCCGCAAUCCUGGCCAGCGGCUCAGUGUGUCCCGGGGCCCCACACCACCUCAACAUCCCCAGGCUGCCCCCCACGGCGCCUCCACUGGGCUCCCUCUUCCUACUUCUCCCGUCCUGCUGCCUGUCAGGUCCUCCAGCAACCGCAGUCUCAGCUCGUGCUCAAGGCAGCAGGGCCGGCAGCCUAACCACUGUCCACCAUCCUUCCCCACGGCGCGGCGUGGCGGUGGGGGGAGGAGCACUCCCCGAGUCCUGAGAACAGGGCCUCAUGGAGGACGCGAUGCGGGGCAGGAUGAGGGAGAUACGGUGAAGAAGAGGGGCACGGCCGAGCCUGAAAGACCAAACUACCAGCUUUUGGUCCUGCUCAACCUCUAAGAUAUGACCUUCGGCCUCUUCCUUCCCUUUUGGGGAGCCAGGGUGGUCUUCUGUAAAAUGCGGCGGGCAGGGACGGAUGGGUGCCAAGGGUUUCCUUGAGAGCCUCGGGGCUGCAUGUUCAACCUGGGCCUCCUCCUGCUGAGCACAUUAUUCCAAAUAAUAAAUGCCAUGCAGGCUUCCAGAGCGGACAGAAGGCCCGGUAGGGCGGCUGGGAUUGAGUCGGGUCUUGGCGGGAUAACUCCACGUUGCCACCUAGACUCCGGCCGCGGCUGCAGGGCCAGACCUGCAGGAACCUGUGGCGCCUUUCCCACCCGCAUCCUGGCGACCCGGCUAAGGGCCCGCUCAAGGCCAAACCAAAGUGAGCAAGAGCGCAGGCGCAGGCACAUCCCUCCAGAGCUGCAGAGUUGCGGACCCUCCUCUUACCCCAAACCAAAAGAGCGGAGGGGCUCUGGCUGCUGAGCGCCCGGCCCGCUCGUUGCCCAGUGACCGGCGCUUCGCGUGUAUCCGAGCUCCUGGCUUGAACCGCCGAGUGGGGGCGCUGCCGCCGUCUCCUUCUCGAAGCCCCUCUACCUGCUCCCACUACUGCGGCUUCCUACUAGCGCUACCGGACGCGAACGAGCCUAGACACUGGGUGCGCGCGUUAGGGCUGCGCGGGGCGGGGCGGAUGGCGAGCGUAGACGGGGCGUGGAGUGCUCCUGCGCUUCCUCUUUCGUCCUCCCUUGUCCCGCCUGGCCCUCCUCCUGCGUUGGGUACCCCCUAUCGGGCUCCCAGCCAAAGACUAAUACCCCCCCCCCCCCCCACCCCGUCGGGCGCUGAUCUCCACGGCCAGCCCCAUCUGGAGCGACUAGGGGGCUGCGGGCUGCGGGCAGGAGAAGAUGGUGCCGCACCGGGAACUGAGGAAACCUUGUGAGGAAUAAGGCUCCUUCCGAGUUCUGUGCAUGUUUUCUGUCUUUAGAACUCAAUCAGCUCCUGACACAUAGAGUUUUGAAGAAUGGGAGGAUCACACAGAUAUAGUCAUUGGAGGCAAGUCACUACAUCUAGCUCAUGUUCAAUGGAAGGAAAUUAAGCUCCCAGACCCAGAGUUCUACUUUUUAAAUUAAAAUGAC